rnacentral:rRNA from 1 species
CUGGCGGCGUGCUUAACACAUGCAAGUCGAACGGAGUUUUAAUGAAAGAUUGACUUAGCUUGCUAUCGAGAGAUUUCAUUAAAACUUAGUGGCGGACGGGUGAGUAACGCGUGGGUAACCUGCCGUAUACAGGGGGACAACAGUUGGAAACGACUGCUAAUACCGCAUAAGCGCACAGUAUUGCAUGAUACAGUGUGAAAAACUCUGGUGGUAUACGAUGGACCCGCGUCUGAUUAGCUGGUUGGUGAGGUAACGGCCCACCAAGGCGACGAUCAGUAGCCGGCCUGAGAGGUUGAACGGCCACAUUGGGACUGAGACACGGCCCAGACUCCUACGGGAGGCAGCAGUGGGGAAUAUUGCACAAUGGGGGAAACCCUGAUGCAGCGACGCCGCGUGAAGGAAGAAGUAUCUCGGUAUGUAAACUUCUAUCAGCAGGGAAGAUAAUGACGGUACCUGACUAAGAAGCCCCGGCUAACUACGUG